CAAGUCGAACGCGAAAGUCCCCUUCGGGGGAUGAGUAGAGUGGCGUCCGGGUGAGUAACACGUGGGUAAUCUACCUUCGGGUGGGGAAUAACGACCGGAAACGGUCGCUAAUACCGCAUAAUGCAGCGGCACCUAAUGGUGACAGUUGUUAAAGCGGGGGAUCGCAAGACCUCGCGCCUGAAGAGGAGCCCGCGGCGGAUUAGCUAGUUGGCAGGGUAACGGCCUACCAAGGCGACGAUCCGUAGCCGGCCUGAGAGGGCGGUCGGCCACACUGGCACUGACACACGGGCCAGACUCCUACGGGAGGCAGCAGUCGGGAAUUUUGGGCAAUGGGCGAAAGCCUGACCAGCAACGCCGCGUGAAGGAUGAAGCUUUUCGGAGUGUAAACUUCAUAAGAAUGGGACGAAUAAGGAAGGGCUAAUACCCCUUUUGAUGACGGUACCAUUUGUAAGCUCCGGCUAACUCCGUGCCAGCAGCCGCGGUAAUACGGGGGGAGCAAGCGUUGUUCGGAUUUACUGGGCGUAAAGGGCGCGUAGGCGGCGCAACAAGUCACUUGUGAAAUCUCCGGGCUUAACCCGGAGCGGUCAAGUGAUACUGUCGUGCUAGAGUGCGGAAGGGGCUACUGGAAUUCUCGGUGUAGCGGUGAAAUGCGUAGAUAUCGAGAGGAACACCUGCGGCGAAGGCGGGUAGCUGGGCCGACACUGACGCUGAUGCGCGAAAGCCAGGGGAGCGAACGGGAUUAGAUACCCCGGUAGUCCUGGCCUUAAACGAUGGAUACUUGGUGUCCGGGGUUACAUAGUCCCCGGGUGCCGGCGC
rnacentral:rRNA from 1 species